ensembl:lncRNA
AAAUGAAGCAGGGCAAAGGCUAACAGAGUUUCUCCAAGAGAAUGCACCAGCUAUAGCAAAGACCCUCUUCCUACAACACAAGAGACAACUCUACACAGGGACAUCAGCAGAUGAUGAAGAGAAUAUUUUUUGUGCCCUUGUCUGGUGUACAACCUACAAAUAGUGAAAACUAUUAGAUUCACAUGGAGAGCUUUAAAAUGAAGUGGAACAAUAUUACAGCAACUGUAGCAAAUGUUGCUUACUCUGCAGUUUCACCUGGACCCAGUUGUGCCACGAGGCAGUCACGAUUUAUGUCUGAAAAGGUUAUUGCUGAAGAACUGGAAUAAAAUUUCAUUUUUGUUUAAAGAAUCCAACUUUUUCUAUUGAGAGUAUGCAGCCAAAUCAGAUGGACAAGUGGGGAUGGAUGUGGUUAUUCUCAAGCCUGGGCUUGGUGAACGUGUGGAUUACAGGAAGAGGGCAACCUUGGAUUCAGCAGCAAUGCUCUAACAUGCCUCUUCCCCAAGACUUCAUGAAAUCAACUAUUCGUAAGGAAAAAUAGACCAGGGAAAGCAACUUAAUUCAUGUUCUUAAAAGCAUUUACUUUGUAUUAACCUACUUUCUAAUUCAUAGGAGAUGGUGAAAUGAAAAAACGUCUGAAAUGUGCCUGAAAUGUAGUGUUUGAUUAUUGCGCUAUGAGGAAAUAUAUCUGUAAUUUAUUUUGCAAAGCCCAUUUCCUGUUACUUGCUACAGAGAUUGCUGCCACAUCUAAUUGUGUUUGUGUAGUUCCUUAAUUUGCAUGAAAGAAGAUAACAUAAAUGAAAAACUCAGGAGGAAAACUAAUUCAGAUUACUAGCCCAGGCAAGCUAAUUUGUUAUUCAUUAAAUGCUAAUGAACUCAGCACCAAUGUUUUGUUUGCUU